AUAAGUUUCACAUCAAUUCCAAAAAAGACUUUACUUGGAGAAUCAGUUGUAAUAACAUGCGAAGCUCUUGCUGUUCCUCUACCAAGAUACACCAUAAUCCAUAACGAUACUGUGGUCGUCAGUACCCACAAGACGUAUAUUAUAACAGUUUUAAAAUACAGUCAGGCUGGGUCCUACAAAUGCAUUGCAACAAAUCAAUUUGGAAAUAGUUCACAGGCCUUCAAUUUGUCUGUUGUUGAGUUACCAACAACGAAGAUUCCUGAUACGAAGUCAAAAGCUUCUGCAAAAGAGAUAACAGCUGCGUGGUAUAUUAUUUUGGUUUUAUUGCUGACCGGAU